CUAUCCCCGCCGCUGCCGGCAGAUGCACGCAAACAAGGGGGUGCUAAGCUGCAGCGAGUAGGAGGGCCGCUGCGGUGAGCGUUGAAGGUGUCGGGCGUAAGCCCGCCUGGAGCCGCCGCUGGUGCAGAUCUUGGUGGUAGUAGCAAAUACUCAAGUGAGAACCUUGAGGACUGAAGUGGAGAAGGGUUCCAUGUGAACAGCAGUUGAACAUGGGUCAGUCGGUCCUAAGGGAAAGGAGAAGUUCUUUCCGAAGCGGGAGCACUUUUUUGCAGUGGAGAGAGCCCCGCAGUGACCGAAAGGGAAUCGGGUUAAUAAUCCCGAACCCGGACACGGAGAUUGGUCCUUCGGGGCCCAGUGCGGUAACGCAAACCAGCUCGGAGACGCCGAUGCGAGCCCCGGGAAGAGUUUUCUUUUCUCUGUAAGGAGAUCGAGUCCCUGGAAUGGGUUCGCCCCGAGAUAGGGAUGGUGGCUCCGUAGAGCAGUGCGGUUCUUGCGCUGUCCGGUGCGCUCGCGUCGGCCCUUGAAAAUCCGAGUGAGGGAGUGUGAUUUUCGUGCCGGACCGUACCCACAUCCGCAGCAGGUCUCCAAGGUGAACAGCCUCUAGUCGAUGGACCAAUGUAGGUAAGGGAAGUCGGCAAAACGGAUCCGUAACCUUGGGAUAAGGAUUGGCUCUGAGGACUGAGCCGGUCGGGCUGGGGACCUGAAGCAGGAACGGCACUGCACCGGGACUGGGCGGGGCUCGCCGUUCACGCGGCGCGGCCAAGCCCGGACCAGCGUCGGGACCUUCCUGUGGAAAGCCUCAGCUGCGCGGCGUCUGAGGGCUUCGUGCCCAAAGUGCUAUGCUUCGGCCGGCAAAAAACAGUCAACUCAGAACUGGCACGGACCGGGGGAAUCCGACUGUCUAAUUAAAACAAAGCAUUGCGAUGGCCGCUGGUCGGUGUUGACGCAAUGUGAUUUCUGCCCAGUGCUCUGAAUGUCAACGUGAAGAGAUUCAUCAAAGCGCGGGUAAACGGCGGGAGUAACUAUGACUCUCUUGUGGUAGC
rnacentral:ncRNA from 1 species